rnacentral:tRNA from 1 species
CAUUGAAUGGCUGAAAUUUAAGCAAUGGUCUCUUAAACCAAACUAUAGUGUUACACUUUCAAUG